rnacentral:rRNA from 1 species
UGGGGAAUAUUGCACAAUGGAGGGAACUCUGAUGCAGCGACGCCGCGUGAACGAAGAAGGCUUUCGAGUCGUAAAGUUCUUUUAUAUGGGAAGAUAAUGACGGUACCAUAAGAAGAAGCCCCGGCUAACUACGUGCCAGCAGCCGCGGUAAUACGUAGGGGGCUAGCGUUGUCCGGAAUCACUGGGCGUAAAGGGUUCGCAGGCGGAAAUGCAAGUCAGGUGUAAAAGGCAGUAGCUUAACUACUGUAAGCAUUUGAAACUGCAUAUCUUGAGAAGAGUAGAGGUAAGUGGAAUUUUUAGUGUAGCGGUGAAAUGCGUAGAUAUUAAAAAGAAUACCGGUGGCGAAGGUGACUUACUGGGCUCAUUCUGACGCUGAGGAACGAAAGCGUGGGUAGCAAACAGG